UACGAAGGGGGGCUAGCGUUGCUCGGAAUCACUGGGCGUAAAGCGCACGUAGGCGGACUCUUAAGUCAGGGGGUGAAAUCCUGGAGCUCAACUCCAGAACUGCCCUUGAUACUGGGAGCCUUGAGUUCGGGAGAGGUGAGUGGAACUGCGAGUGUAGAGGUGAAAUUCGUAGAUAUUCGCAAGAACACCAGUGGCGAAGGCGGCUCACUGGCCCGAUACUGACGCUGAGGUGCGAAAGCGUGGGGAGCAACAGGA
rnacentral:rRNA from 1 species